AGUGCCACGGGCAGGUCUCUGUAAGAGCUACCUCAGCAUUAGAGAGAUGCAGUUUCUUUUCUUGAGGGUGGCACUGCGUGGCAACAGAGAGAAACACAUAGGAAAAUCCGCCCACACUCUGGUUUGCUUCCUCCAUUGACUCAGUUCCAGUGGGGCUGUCUACUAAAGCUUCUGGGUGUCUGGCUUUCCUCCUGAUCGUCCCUUCGUCCCUGGGGCUUGUCCGUGUGGCUUCCAAACCCUGUUCUUCACGAUGGCCCCUGUGCUCUCGUCCUGCCCCGUCUGCCCCGCACACCGCACACUUCUCAGCAGCCACACUGUGGAGCCUGGGGGAGGCGGAGAAGGAGAAUGGGGGUCCUCAGCCUGGGUUUCUCCCUUGGUCUCACACUUAGGAGCUGGGUGACAUUGAACCUGUCAUGAACUCCUCUGUGGCUCCCUUUCAUCUUCUGUCAGGUGUGAUUGAAUUGAACAGCCAGUAAAAUAAAGAGCUUUAUUUGUGGUGGUCACA